GUGAAAUUAAACAGCUAAGUCUCACUUUGGUGUAAAAGCCACUUCCAGCCAAUUUUCAAGCCUCUGUUAAAAAGGUCAAAUUGAAAAGCAGACAAAUCAUGUUGUAGCUGUUAAGCACUCCAGGCUCAAUGGAGAAACAGCUAUCAGCUGAUGAUAUAAGUUCCUGCUUCGAAUUUAGAAGAGGUGACUGACACUAUCCAAGAUGGCUGCCAGGUUUUAUCUGAUUUCGGCUCUGUUCAGAAACCACCGGUUUCUCUGGAGUCUUGUAUUUCCCGCCCACCGUGGCCAGCAUUUUACGGUGUUAAUCAGAUUUUGCUGUUUUUCUUCACACUGAGUCCCUUCCCUAUCCAUUCCACCCUCUUGACUCUUAUCCUCCCACCCUCACCUUCAUGGUGCAUGGGCCUAUUAAAUGGUGUCCAGUCCAAUUUCUGGCACCCAAUAAAUCUAAAUUUUCAAGCUUGGGAAGCCAGGCUCACCUACUGGCACCUAGAUAAAUGAGUCCUCCAUGAGAAACCUACACCGGUCAUUACUCAAGACUUCUGAAACCCCACCACUGGAUUUCAGGCCAGAGAAAGUCAAGUCCUCCUUUCAGCCUUCAUUCUCCAAAAAAGAAAAUAACCCACAGCCCAGGGCCUCGCCUUCAUCUACAUCUCCAGUCCCUCCAUCUGGAUGCUCAGACUGAAUCCCAGCCUCCCACUUGCAGCAUCCUGCCGGCUCCUACGUCACCCCGUCAGGUCACCCCAUCAGCUCUGCAGCUUUGAAAUGAGACUUAAUAUCCGGCACACGCGCCUGCGCUGCUCAGCUCGCCGGGGCUCCAAGCCUGAAGAUGAACAAAGAGCCUCCGUGAACUGUUUCAUUGUUUGCAACAAGCACAACCAAGAUGGGCUUCUCUCCCUAGCCCACUCUGCGGUGAAUCCCCCACUUUGUGUGGGAGGACUGUUAAUGACCGAAAUCUACACUCCAUCUAAUAGACAAAGGCUCUGACAUUGUCUCCUGCAGGAGAAGGGGGAUCUUGGGGUCAGGGACGUUUGAACCCAGGUUGGUUUCCUGGAAAAGUGGUGGGAAGGAGGAGCCAAGAGCCGGGGCUGCUGGGGAAGCAACAGGAGCUCAGGGCUGUGUUUCAUUCCAGGAGGCGAGACCUGGAGGUGGUGGGAAGUUGGGGACUAUUUGUAUUUACUUGUUAUUUUGACUUGUGAAAUUACUCCCUUUCAUUCCACCAGCCUUCUGCCUCUGCACAAUAAAAAUUAAUUACAAUGAAUUAGAACCUUUAAAAACCACGCUUAAUAGUAGCUCAGAGACAGCCCCUCCUCUGGCCCCUCACUAGUCUACAGCUCAACAUCUGAUCAAUCUGGCAAGAACAAUUUUAAAAGGAAAAAGUACCUGCUUUUGGCUUCUAUGAAUAAAUCUGGGAACUAAUAGGAUACUGUGAUGGUUAAUGUUAUGUGUCAGCUUGGCUGGGCUAGAGUACCCAGUUAUUUAAUCAAGCACUGAUCCAUGUGUUGACUGGAUGGGUAUUUUGUAAAUACGGUUACCAGCUACAGUUGACUGACUGAGUAGAUUACCCUGAAUAAUGUGGGUGGGCCUUGUCCAAUCAGUUGAAGUUCCUAAGAGAAAGCCCUGAGGUUUCCCAGAGAAGAAAAAAAAAAAAUUCUGCCUCAAGACUGCAUCAACUUCUGCCCAAGUUUCCAGACUAUUGGCCUGCCCUGUAUUCCUUGAAAUAAAUCACACAUAUAUUUGUGUGUGUGUAUAUAUAUAUAUAUAAACAUAUACAUCUGAUCUAUAUCUGUAUCCCUAUAUAUUGCUGAUUCUGCUUCCCUGAAGAACCCUGACUCAUACAGCUAUUUAGAAAGCUUAUACUGAAUUCGAAUUGCUCAUUGUGUAACUUUUGGAAGGAGGACUGCUCUUCUUCAUUUCCUGAACAUGAAGUCUUGUGCUGUGGACAUAGUAGGUGCUUAGUAAAUGUUCAUUGAAGGGACUGGAAACCCAAAGAAGCCCCAUAAUGCUUUUCUCAACUUCUACUGCCCCAUUUUCAAAUGGAAACAUUUGCUCCCUCCCAUCCACUUGGGACUCAUCAGCUCUACUUUGCUGACCAGCUCUUCUCUGGAUGUUCCUAUCACGUUGUCAUUCACUGAAGCCUCCAUCACUCUCUACUUUAACACCUAUCAACUAAACCAUAUCUUCCCCAAAGGCUUCACUGCAGAGGGGCCAGGCUCAUAGCUUACUCUUGCUUCCUUGAAGCUUGUGUGUAGGAUUCUUUAGGCUUAUAUUAAUUGUGCUUUGCUUCACCUGACAUCUUAAAAUGAUGUUGUCUGUUUCUCAUUAGCUGGUGGACCCUCUGGGGGGAUUCUAGGCUCUGAUAUUGUGGAACAUUUAUGAUCUUUGGAAUCAGCCAGACCUAGGGUUUUUUUUUUUUUUUAAUAUUUAUUAAUUUGGCUAUGCUGGGUCUUAGUU
ensembl:lncRNA